AACGAACGCUGGCGGCAUGCCUAACACAUGCAAGUCGAACGAUGCCUUCGGGCAUAGUGGCGCACGGGUGCGUAACGCGUGGGAAUCUGCCUUUCGGUUCGGAAUAACUCAGGGAAACUUGAGCUAAUACCGGAUAACGUCGCAAGACCAAAGAUUUAUCACCGAAAGAUGAGCCCGCGUAGGAUUAGCUAGUUGGUGAGGUAAAGGCUCACCAAGGCGUCGAUCCUUAGCUGGUCUGAGAGGAUGAUCAGCCACACUGGGACUGAGACACGGCCCAGACUCCUACGGGAGGGGGCAGUGGGGAAUAGUGGACAAUGGCCGAAAGCAUGAUCCAGCAAUGACGCGUGAGUGAUGAAGGCAUUAGGGUUGUAAAGCUCUUUUAACCGGGAAGAUAAUGACGGUACCGGGAGAAUAAGCCCCGGCUAACUCCGUG
rnacentral:rRNA from 1 species